rnacentral:lncRNA from 10 species
UGGAAAAACCAGCAACCAUCAGAGCUGGUAUUCAAAAUAAGCCAAUUCAGAUUCCGAGUCCCGGCUCCUAACCAUGGAGUGGCCUCAGGGUUUUAUAGUUUGUCCGGCUCUUUGGAUGAACAUCACACCUCAUGGAGGAGAGUCCCUUCCAUUUUAACGGCUCCAGGUUGUCAUGGAAAUCCUCUGUAUACAAGAGGGUAAGGAGGAGGAUGAGAAGCAAUACAUGCUUAUUGGGACUUUCUAUCAUCCCAGGACUUAUCCAGGUACAUUAUAACAAUGUUGAAUACAGUAUUAGUCCCAUUUUAACUAUGAGGAAAAUAAGGUUUGGACUGUCAGAGACAGAGCAAGACACAUUGGUAAGGGCAGACAAGGGAUUCAUCUGACUCCAAUGCCUCUUCCUUGGUAAACCAGACUGGCUUGUCACACCGUGAAAUUAGAGUCAACUUGUUAAAUCUUGACAGGUUGCUAAAUUAUUAAUUACACCCCCAGGAGCUGUGACUGGAGCAGCAGGGAUGCUAUGGCUGCACUGUACUAUUUUUAGCACUAGAUGGUGCUGUAACACUGCACAUCUCUUCCGCGGUGGCCCUUGGAGGAAGGUUACUUCAGGGCUUGGAGACCCUGGAGGGAAGGAUGCUACCUUACCAGAGCGUGAAAAAAACAUGGAAGACAGGAUACUCUCGGGCCCUGAGAAAGCUGGAGACUGUAGCCACCAGGUGGCUCCAGGAUGUGCAGUACUGGCGUCUGGGUUUUGCUCACACAACCGUGAACUCCUGGUCCCACCGAGCCCUAGCGAGUGGAUUGGAGCACACACCCACCCACCUCCUCAGAGCUCCUACGAGUAGAGGAGGUACCUAGGCACGUGGGAGCUUGGCGCCUUGUUAGGUGCUCAGGAUACUGGUUGUCCGGAAUCCCAGUGAGGUGCAGUCCCGCCCUUGUGCCACUUUCCCAUGCGCUUCCUGCCCCUCUGGGGGCUGCAGAGGCUGCAGAGUUGUCCAGCUUGAGAAACUGUAUCAAGGUUGCUCCCUGACGGCCUGGCAACUCGCUGAAGAGCUGCCUUCAGUUCAGAACAGUUUUAGGGAGAUUGUCAUAAACUCAAUGAGUUUAAAUGAUUUUACACUGACUCUUCAAAAAUGUCAAGGUCAUGAAAGACAAAGGCCGAGGAACUGCCCCAGACUGGAGGAGGCGGGAGACAUGGCAGCUGUGAAUGCACCGUGGGUCCUGAACCAGAAAAAGGAGCUCAGUGGGACGAUUGGUAACUUUUUGAUGCAAUCUGUCGGUGAGCUAAUAGUAUUGCUUCGAUGUUAAUUUCUUGG